rnacentral:rRNA from 1 species
AGGGUUUGAUCCUGGCUCAGGACGAACGCUGGCGGCGUGCUUAACACAUGCAAGUCGAACGGUAGGCUCCAGCUUGCUGGGGUACACGAGUGGCGAACGGGUGAGUAACACGUGGGUGACCUGCCCUGCACUUCGGGAUAAGCCUGGGAAACUGUGUCUAAUACCGGAUAGGACCAUGGUGUGGAUACUGUGGUGGAAAGUUUUUUCGGUGUGGGAUGGGCCCGCGGCCUAUCAGCUUGUUGGUGGGGUAAUGGCCUACCAAGGCGGCGACGGGUAGCCGGCCUGAGAGGGUAGACGGCCACAUUGGGACUGAGACACGGCCCAGACUCCUACGGGAGGCAGCAGUGGGGAAUAUUGCACAAUGGGCGGAAGCCUGAUGCAGCGACGCCGCGUGGGGGAUGACGGCCUUCGGGUUGUAAACUCCUUUCACCAUCGACGAAGGGUUUCUGACGGUAGAUGGAGAAGAAGCACCGGCUAACUACGUGCCAGCAGCCGCGGUAAUACGUAGGGUGCGAGCGUUGUCCGGAAUUACUGGGCGUAAAGAGCUCGUAGGUGGUUUGUCGCGUCGUCUGUGAAAUUCCGGGGCUUAACUCCGGGCGUGCAGGCGAUACGGGCAUAACUUGAGUACUGUAGGGGAGACUGGAAUUCCUGGUGUAGCGGUGAAAUGCGCAGAUAUCAGGAGGAACACCGGUGGCGAAGGCGGGUCUCUGGGCAGUAACUGACGCUGAGGAGCGAAAGCAUGGGGAGCGAACAGGAUUAGAUACCCUGGUAGUCCAUGCCGUAAACGGUGGGCGCUAGGUGUGGGUUUCCUUCCCCGGGAUCCGUGCCGUAGCUAACGCGUUAAGCGCCCCGCCUGGGGAGUACGGCCG